rnacentral:tRNA from 3 species
GGCGGGAUAGCUCAGUUGGCAGAGCGGAGGACUCAUAAGCCUUAGGUCACCGGUUCGACCCCGGUUCCCGCCACCA